GCACAAUACAGAAAAUUGCAGGGAGCUGAGCACCUUCUUAGACACACAAGUAAAGGAGGGGAAGCUGAAGCAAUAUAUAAAUAAAGUAGAAAGGGGGCGACAAGGCUGCAGGGACCCGAAAAACAAGGGUAAGCGCCAACGCUCAAGGAGUCCAGAUUCAGACACUGACCACAAAAGAAGGGUAAUUAACUUAAUCUUCGGUGGAGGAUCGGUAGGAGAAAGCAGAAGUUACUCGCGCAAAGUAAUGCAGACAACAACGGUACCAAAAUCUAAAAAAAGAUCGUACCGAAGCGAGGAAAUAAG
rnacentral:lncRNA from 1 species